rnacentral:rRNA from 1 species
AUUGAACGCUGGCGGCAUGCCUUACACAUGCAAGUCGAACGGCAGCACGGGAGCAAUCCUGGUGGCGAGUGGCGAACGGGUGAGUAAUAUAUCGGAACGUGCCCAGUCGUGGGGAUAACGUAGCGAAAGCUACGCUAAUACCGCAUACGAUCUAUGGAUGAAAGCGGGGGAUCGCAAGACCUCGCGCGAUUGGAGCGGCCGAUAUCAGAUUAGGUAGUUGGUGAGGUAAAGGCUCACCAAGCCGACGAUCUGUAGCUGGUCUGAGAGGACGACCACGCCACACUGGGACUGAGACACGGCCCAGACUCCUACGGAGGGCCAGCAGUGGGGAAUUUUGGACGAAUAGG